GAUGAAGAACGCAGCGAAAUGCGAUAAGUAAUGUGAAUUGCAGAAUUCAGUGAAUCAUCGAAUCUUUGAACGCACAUUGCGCCCGCCAGUAUUCUGGCGGGCAUGCCUGUUCGAGCGUCAUUACAACCCUCAGGCCCCCGGGCCUGGCGUUGGGGAUCGGCGGAGCCCCCCGUGGGCACACGCCGUCCCCCAAAUGCAGUGGCGGUCCCGCCGCAGCUUCCAUCGCGUAGUAGCUAACACCUCGCGACUGGAGAGCGGCGCGGCCACGCCGUAAAACACCCAACUCUUCUGAAGUUGACCUCGAAUCAGGUAGGAAUACCCGCUGAACUUAAGCAUAUCAAUAAGCGGAAGA
rnacentral:misc_RNA from 1 species